rnacentral:rRNA from 1 species
GACGAACGCUGGCGGCGUGCCUAAUACAUGCAAGUAGGACGCAGUUGCGAACGGGUGAGUAACGCGUAGGUAACUACCUAUUAGAGGGGGAUAACUAUUGGAAACGAUAGCUAAUACCGCAUACUAGUAGAUGGACCUGCGUUGUAUUAGGUAGUAGGUAGGGUAAUGGCCUACCUAGGCAACGAUACAUAGCCGACCUGAGGGGGGGAUCGGCCACACUGGGACUGGGACCCGGCCCCGACUCCUACGGGUGGCAGCAGUAGGGAAUCUUCGGAAAGGGGGGGAACCCUGACCGAGCACCGCCGCGGGAGUGAAGAAGUUUUUCGGAUGUGAAAGCUCUGUUGUUAGGGAAGCGGUAUUUAACCAGAAAGGGACGGCUAACUCCGUGCCAGCAGCCGCGGUAAUAC